GCUUACGGCCACACCGCCUGGUAUCACGCUUGAUCUCGGAAGAUAAGAUAGGUUGGGCCUGGUUAGUACUUGGAUGGGAGACCGCCUGGGAAUACCAGGUGCUGUAAGCU
ensembl:rRNA 5S_rRNA 5S ribosomal RNA